rnacentral:rRNA from 1 species
UAAGACGAACCGAGCGAACGUUGUUCGGAAUCACUGGGCUUAAAGGGCGCGUAGGCGGGCUGCCAAGUUUGGGGUGAAAUCCUCCGGCUCAACCGGGGAAGGGCCUUGAAUACUGGCGGUCUGGAGGGGGGUAGGGGCGUGCGGAACUAACGGUGGAGCGGUGAAAUGCGUUGAUAUCGUUAGGAACUCCGGUGGCGAAGGCGGCACGCUGGACCCUCACUGACGCUGAGGCGCGAAAGCCAGGGGAGCGAACGGGAUUAGAUACCCCGGUAGUCCUGGCCCUAAACGUUGAGAACUAGGUAGUAGGCCGGACAUGGGCUUACUGCCGGAGCAAAAGUGCUAAGUUCUCCGCCUGGGGAGUAUGGUCGCAAGGCUG